GGAAUGCAAGUCUAAAAUUUAGACUUUUGUGGAUAUUUUACUCUGCAUCAGAUUGGCUAUAUAAUAAAAAUUUCAGACUUCAACUACAGUAAGUCUUAUAGUCCCUCGUCAAGUAUGGUGAGCCACUGUUUGCUCUGGAUAAUAAUAUUUUAUUAUUUCAUCAAAUCUCUGCCUACUCUUUCCCUCGUUCUUUUCUCUUUCUUCAAGCCUGAGCAACCUCGCGCUCUUCUCUCCCUUGCUCUUCUUCAACCCGCAAGCUUCCUCGUUUAUCAUUCUGCAUCUCCAUCGAUCGCCUUCUUCCCUGUCUUCUUCCAGGCAACCACGAUUAAACAGAGUUGUCGUCGUGGUUUUGCAACUCCCGCAAUGGCUUCUCUCAGAAAACCCUAGCGACACGACCGAGCUCUGCCAAAUCCAUCCUGCCUCUCUUGUUUCAUUUUGACCAGAAUAGAAAAGUAAACAUGCGCAUGCAUGAAGGUUGGUUUAUGCUGAUUUUUAUGUCUUGUGGGUUUUCUGGUGCGAAUGCAGUACUGAGUUUUAUGGGCAUUACAAGUGCACAGGACCAGGAGCUAGCUUUAGCAGGAAGAGUGUCAUGGUCCAGGGAACUUACUGACAAGGAAGCCGAGCCUUUUAUUUCACUUAGCUUCAUUGAUGAGUCUGAAUGGAUUAAGUUGUAAUUAAUCCACAAUUUUUGUCUUUCUUUUUAACAAUUAUUGAUCAUCUCUGUAAAAGUCUUGAUAUUUUAUUAUUUAGAAGUGAAAGUAAUAGAUAGUUUUUGUAUAUAGUUUUGAUAAGUAGUUUUUGUACAUAUCUAACAUCUUGUUGAAAAUAUAUUUAAAGAAAUAUUGGUAUGUUUGUAUA